rnacentral:rRNA from 1 species
UACGUAGGGGACAAGCGUUGUCCGGAUUUAUUGGGCGUAAAGAGCGUGUAGGCGGCCAGGUAGGUCCGUUGUGAAAACUGGAGGCUUAACCUCCAGCUGUCGAUGGAAACCAUCUGGCUAGAGUCCGGAAGAGGAGAGUGGAAUUCCUGGUGUAGCGGUGAAAUGCGCAGAUAUCAGGAAGAACACCCGUGGCGAAGGCGGCUCUCUGGGACGGUACUGACGCUGAGACGCGAAAGCGUGGGGAGCGAACAGG